AUUGAACGCUGGCGGCAUGCUUUACACAUGCAAGUCGAACGGUAACAGGCCGCAAGGUGCUGACGAGUGGCGCACGGGUGAGUAAUGCAUCGGAACGUGCCCAGUCGUGGGGGAUAACUACUCGAAAGAGUAGCUCAUACCGCACACGAUCCAUGGAUGAAAGCGUGGGACCGUAAGGCCUCGCGCGCUUGGAGCGGCCGAUGUCGGAUUAGGUAGUUGGUGGGGUAAAGGCUCACCAAGACAACGAUCUGUAGCUGGUCUGAGAGGACGACCAGCCACACUGGGACUGAGACACGGCCCAGACUCCUACGGGAGGCAGCAGUGGGGAAUUUUGGACAAUGGGCGCAAGCCUGAUCCAGCAAUGCCGCGUGCAGGAAGAAGGCCUUCGGGUUGUAAACUGCUUUUGUACGGAACGAAACGGCUCUGGUUAAUACCCGGGGCUAAUGACGGUACCGUAAGAAUAAGCACCGGCUAACUACGUG
rnacentral:rRNA from 1 species